rnacentral:misc_RNA from 1 species
GAUGAAGAACGUAGCAAAAUGCGAUAAGUAAUGUGAAUUGCAGAAUUCAGUGAAUCAUCGAAUCUUUGAACGCACAUUGCGCCCGCUGGUAUUCCGGCGGGCAUGCCUGUUCGAGCGUCAUUUCAACCCUCAAGCCCCCGGGUUUGGUGUUGGGGAUCGGCUCUGCCCUUCUGGGCGGUGCCGCCCCCGAAAUACAUUGGCGGUCUCGCUGCAGCCUCCAUUGCGUAGUAGCUAACACCUCGCAACUGGAACGCGGCGCGGCCAUGCCGUAAAACCCCAACUUCUGAAUGUUGACCUCGGAUCAGGUAGGAAUACCCGCUGUACUUAAGCAUAUCAAUAAGCGGAGGA